rnacentral:lncRNA from 1 species
AUUCCAUCAGCCAGCAUAGUCUGAAAUUUUUGACACUUUAUUCCCAGUAAUGAUCUGCAAUGGCAAGGAAAGCACGGUGUUUCACCUUGUAACGAUGGUCUGUUUUCACAGUCCUACAAAAGGAGUGAGGACCUCUCUCAGUCUCCAGCCUGAUUUGGGGAUCCCACAGAAUGAUAGCCCUGAGAGGAAGAACUAGCCAGCAAGGGGCCUGGCAUUCAGGUCCACUCUGGGGCCGGGAGGAGGGUUCCACAGCCUCCAAGUGUGUGUAAGCGAUUAAGAGGUAAGUACCGUGGUGUUUAUUGCACAUCCACUCAAUCUCAUCAUGCCACGUGCUCAGAUUUCUUCCUCUAAUAUUUCUAUCAUUGUAGCACGUGCUAAAUUGGAGGCUGGGGGUAUAAUGUGUCAAUCAUAUUUCCAUGGCUGAGGUAAAGUACCUGACAUACACAAGUCGCAGGAGGAAAAGUUUAUUUGGGCUCAUGGUUUCAGAGAUUUCAGUCCCUGUUUGACUCACUCCCAGGAAACAUCUUGGUGGAACGGUAUGGCUGAGGAAAGCUGUUCACCUCAUGGCAGCCAGGAAGCAGCGAGAGGGCCACAGAGCCAGAGAAAAUUUAACCUCUUUUGAAGUCAUGCCUCUAGUGACCUACUUCCUCCAACUGUGUCCUACCUACAAAUAGCCCG